UACGUAGGGGGCAAGCGUUGUCCGGAAUCAUUGGGCGUAAAGCGCGUGUAGGCGGCUCGAUAAGUCUGCUGUGAAAGUCCAGGGCUCAACCCUGGGAUGCCGGUGGAUACUGUCGAGCUCGAGUCCGGAAGAGGCGAGUGGAAUUCCUGGUGUAGCGGUGAAAUGCGCAGAUAUCAGGAGGAACACCAAUGGCGAAGGCAGCUCGCUGGGACGUGACUGACGCUGAGACGCGAAAGCGUGGGGAGCAAACGGG
rnacentral:rRNA from 1 species